GGAAAAGAGACGUACCCGACUUUGAGACCUACAUUAUAUUCUUCUAAUCGUAAUCGAAAACAUGACUUUUUAAAAUGCCGUAUUUGAUAAUAAGAAGACCACUUCCAUUCGAAAACGCGUUUGCUCAAACAAUCGUUGGUGAUGUAAACCUUCAAGAACAUGUUUUCAAACAUAUUGGGGCUACAUUUUGCGCAGAAAGACAACAAUAUGAGAUAAAACAACAUCCAAGCUGGGUUCUCGAUAAACUCGAAGAAAUAGGUUACCGCGUGGUGUCCAGCGCAUGUAAUGCCAAUGUGAUGGUGUGGACGAUGCACGCUCAUCCCGCGAUGUAAUGAGAAGUCCAACAACAAAUUGAUGAGUUUAAUAAAUAGAUUGAAGACAGA